rnacentral:lncRNA from 1 species
GCACCAUUACCAUUCUCCACUGAUUUUUUUUAGAAGUGUCUUUUACCAAAAACCUUUUUGACAUUCUAAUAAAAGCAAAAUGUUUUAAGUUAGGAGUGGCUUUUCAGAGCAAUAUCCCUUUGCCUCAAUGGUUACUAACCAAAAUACAUGGAUAAGAUAAAUCUGAAUAAAAGCAAGAACUAAACCAAACUGAAUUAACUUCUUCUCAGCCAGAGGUUAAUUUUAAAGCAUUAAGCUGAACCAUCAUUCCUGAUGAUUGUGGAAUGAAGUAUUUGGAAGUAUACGUUUCAUCAACAACUGGGAGACACGGAGUGUGGUUAGGAGAAUACCUUGGAAUUACACAGUGCUGGGUUCAAACCUGAAUUGAGUCAUUUCCUAGUUGUGUUCUCUUGAGCAAGUUACCUAGCUUAUCUAAACCUGAGUUUCUUCAUCCAUAAACUGGGAAUAAUAAUAACUGUUUCAUCUGUCACAAGGUUGUGAAAAGGAUUAAAAGAUAAUACAAAAUGCUUAGAGAUACAAAAGGUGUAGUAGGGUGUCUGGUACCUUUUAAGCAAAGCUAUUAUUACUGUAUGGAAUAUUCAGAAAAACUACUAACUGCUGCACAAUGCACACAAUUUUUUCCUCAUGUGUGCAAGGACUUGAAACUAAAGAAUAGAGUUUGGGAUCUUCCUACAUGGAAGCAUGUUAAUCAUGGUCUCAAAACCAGAUUGAACAAUAUUUGCAGUCAGCUUGCAAACUUUCACAGUAUCAGGUCACAUGGGAUGGUUCUCAGGGUCCCAGGAGAGGGAUUGAAUUGUGUUGUCCUCAAAAUUUAUAUGUUGAAGCCUCAAUCCCCACAGUGAGAUUGUAUCUGGAGAUAGGGCAUUUAGGAGAUAAUUAAGGUUAAAUGAGGUCAGAAGGGUGGGGCCCUAACCCAAUAGAAUUGGUUGCCUUAUAAGAGGAGGAAGAGAAAUUCCUCUCUCUCUCCCUCACUCCCAACUCCCACCCCAGCCCUGCUAUAUGCACAAACUAAGGAAAGGCCAUGUGAGGACACAGCGAGAAGGCGGCCAUCUGCAAGUCAGGAAGAGAGGCCUUACUUGGAAGCCAAUCAGCUGGCACCUUCACCUUCCUGCCUCCAGAACUGUGAAAAAUGCAUGUCUGUUGGUUUAGCCACACAAUCUAUAGUAUCUUCUUACGGCAAUCUGAGUUGAUUAAUACAGAAGGAAAGAUAUCAUUAAUUUUACCCCACAACCAGAAAAUCGAAAACAUGCCUUACUGAGCAGAGAAUGCUUCCUCUCUAGAAUACCCCUGUCCCACUCUUGAGAGCUGGCCAAAUGUACAUAAAAUUGAUGGCUUUAUCUGAUUUUGAAAGAGAAAUACAUCAAAUCCCAAUUUUUUUAAGUUAAGUAACUUUGACAGGGGAAAAAAAUUCACCUCCCAAUGGAGGGCAUAAUUUGUACAGUAGUCUGUUGGGGGAUACAUUUUGUUGCACAAUUCAAACCUGUAGCCAGGAUUGAGUAAGAAAGCAACUUCAAUGAUUUUGGAAGAAACUGCCCUAAAACCGGAAGCCUUAGUUCCCUUCUGAAAUACAUCUCUACAAGUGGUUCACAAGUUUAAAGACAGAUGUUAUCACCAGUUAUUGAAAUGAUAGUUUCCCCAGGGAAAUGGGCACUGCCCCAAGAGAGACAAAAAUGUAGACAGAGAAUGAAUAAAUCCUGAAAUGUUCUAGUAAUUUCUACGACAACACCUCCCCCUUCUUGCCAGCUCUACUCUAAGCAGAUGCUGCUGAGCCCUCUGAACCUUAGAAGGGUGGCCUCUGCAGGGUGGAGGCAGAGGCACUGGCUGGGAUUCCACAAAUUUGCCUUCAAAUUCGUUUAUUUGCUUAACGGCUAUUCAUCAAGGACCUGUCAUGCAUUACAGGAGAGUAGUGAGGAACUGAGUCUAAAGCCAGACUGUGAGAUCAAGUCCUGCUGUGCCGUUUACCACGGCCAGGUGGCCUUGGGCAAGUCAGUCCAUCUUCCUAGGCCUUGAUUUCCCAAGACAGAUGGGCAGACUGGGAACAGCACUUGCAUGUCAUCACAACCCUGUGUGUGCUUGUGGUUAUCACAGCUGCUCCCUGCCCCAAGGGUCUAUUCCUGGUACUGGCAUCAGCUACCCCUUUUCUGAUAUUCUGUAGCUCUGUGACCUUCAGCAAAACAUUUAACUUGCAUUUGCUUUCAUUUCCUCAUCUGCAAAAUGGAAAUGACAGUGCCUGCCUCACUGGAUUAUAGGAGCAUUCAGUGAAACAUAUAUGCAAAGUGCAUGAUAUAAAAUGGUUGCACAGGAAUGUUUUUCUUAUUAAUACGGAUUAAUUGUUUUUUUGCUUCCAUCUUCACCCCAUACCCUUUUAUUAUAUUUACAUAGAGAGUCCUUCUCAGCCCUUGGCCAUGGACAAAUCCUGAGAAUGCUCCUGGUGAAAGAGGCAGCUGUGUUUCUUCCAUGUGAACUUUCUCUCAUUGGUCAUGUGGGGUCAGGGUCUUGCCCACACAGCAUGUAGUGGAAGUUGAAGUAGUUAUCUAAAUCAGGGGUCAGCAAAGUUUUGCUGUAAAAGGCCAGAUAGUAGAUAUGUUUGCCCUUGCAGGUCACACAGUCACUGUCACAGCUAUUCAACUCUGCCGAUGUGUGAAAGCAGCCUUGUACAAUCCACAAAUGCAUGAGGAUAGCUGUGUUCCAAUAAAACUUUAUAUACAAAACAGGCAAUGGGCCAGAUUUGGUCUGUGAUCUGCACUUUGCUCACCUCUGAUCCAGAUUCAUCCAUUCAACAAAUAUACUGCAUGCCUUAUAUGUAACAGGCACCAUUCUGGAUGCUAGGAAUAUAGCUGUAAAUGAAAUAAAGCCCUCACCAUAAUGGAGUUCACAUUAUGUUAUAAAGGUAUUAAUAUUGGUUAUUGUCUAUUUCUCACACUGAAGACAGCAAGUGGAGACAGUUUUUCAAAAAGGGAGUAAUCAUUUGGGUGAAAUGCUGCUGAAGUUUGGGUAAACCAAGGACUCAGAACUGGCCAUUGCAUUUGGCAACAAAAGAGUCACUGGUGACCUUGAUGAGUGCACUUUCAGAACAGUGAGGACAGGCCAGGUGUGUGGCUGUAAAGGGAAGCACAGCAGUGAGAAGGGAGCAGGGAGGGGCUCAGCCUCAAGGGAGAAGGUUGUUGUGUUGUUAAGAUGGAGAGGUUAGAGCUCAUUUGCAUAGAGAAUGAUCCAGAAGAAAGGUACAGUUGUAUGUCAUGAUACAGGAGAGAGAGAAGUGGUUUUCCAGAGUGGCAAGAGGACACGGUCCCAGUGCCCUGGUGAAGUGCUCUCCUCUGCAAGGAGCAGGUCCAGUUCAUCCCUGGGAACAGGAAGGAAGGCAGGGCCAAGGGGCAGAGAUUCAGUUCUGAGAGAAUAAAUCAGUUCUCCUCCAAUUGCUUCUAUUUUCUCACUACAAUCAAUGAGAAGCAAUAUCAUCAGAUGGGAAUGAGAAAGGGAAGGAGUUCUAAGGAGAGAUGAGAACAUUUGAAACAGCCAUCUCAGAGUUUGUGCCUUCGUGCUCACAGUCACCGCAUGACUACAAAAUGGCGACUCUGCCUCCAGCAUUGCAUCAGCAUUCCAGGGAGAAGAAAUGGGACAACAGAUGAUGAAAGCAACCCCCUUGACAAAAUUGCUGAAGCAAUAUGGGACUUUUUAAGAUUACAAGAGCCACGUGGUUAAUAUUACUGGAAUGUUUUCAUGAGUGUGAAAUGCAGUUGUCACAGAGAAGCUUCUACUCAUCAUCUUAAGGCAAACACCAAAGUUCUUCAGAACAACUGAUUCCCCCUACAAGGAGAAAUAUCCAAGGCCUUCAUCCACCAGAACAGUCAAAUCAUUGAAAUUUAUCAGGCCUCGUGCAGUGGCUCACGCCUGUAAUCCCAGCACUUUGGGACACCGAGGUGGGUGGAUCACUUGAGGUCAGGAGUUCAAGACCAGCCUGGCCAACAGGGUGAAACCCCGUCUCUAUUAAAAAUACAAAAAUUAGCUGGAUGUGGUGGCGCAUGCCUGUAGUCCCAGCUACGUGGGAGGCUGAGGCAGGAGAAUCACUUGAACCUGGGAGUCGGAGGUUGCACUGAGCUGAGAUCACGCCACUGCACUCCAUCCUGGGUGACAAGAGUGAAACUGUCUCAAAAAGAAAAAAAGAAGGCCAGGCACGUGGCUCAUCCCUGUAAUCCCAGCACUUUGGGAGGCCAAGGUGGGCGGAUCAUCUGAGGUCAGGAGUUCGAGACCAGCCUGGCCAACAUGGUGAAACCCCAUCUCUACUAAAAAUACAAAAAUUAGCUGGGUGUGGUAGCACAUGCCUGUAAUCCCAGCUACUCGGGAGGCUGAGGUAGAAGAAUCACUUGAACCCAGGAGGCAGAGGCUCCAGUGAGCCGAGAUUACGCCAGUGCACUCCAGCCUAGGAGACAGAGCGAGACUCCAUCUCAUCAAAAAAAAAAAAAAAAAAUUUCUUCCAGUGUCCCAGGACAUUCCCCCAAGUAUCUGGAAUUUCACAAAGAGGGCCAGAUACAAUUCUAUCCAGAAUUCAUUGCUAUACUUGGAAGCUAGAAAGACCCCUCUUUACUAUGGAGAACAGAUGAUAGAACUUAUGCUUCUAAUAAAACAAGAUGCUCUUCAAUCAGCAUGCUCAUGUGUCCAGGGAGCUGACCCCAGUGUGUUGGUAGUAAGGCUUAAUAGCAAGAAGAGAUCAUGGGAAAGUCAAGGACAACCAGAUCUGACAGUAUACCUGGGAAAGGGCUCUAGUUGCUGUCCGUCAGGAUAUUAAUUCAAAUGCCCAAACAGUGAUUGUUCAUCAAAGGGCAUUCUGACCUUCCCUAAUUCCAUUUUUUCAAAAGACAUUUUUAGAGUAAUUUUGGGUUCGCAGAAAAAUUGAUCAGCAAGUACAGAGAGAGCCUGUGUAUCCCCACAUGCCCUCACCAUUUUCCCCUAUUAUUAAUACUUUGCACUUAUGUGGUACAUCUGUUUCCAUUGAUGACACAAUAUCGAUACAUUAUUAUUAACUAAAGUCCAUAGCCUACAUUAGGGUUCCCUCUUUGUGUUGUACAUGCGGUGGGGUUUGAGAAUGUCUAAUAACAUGUAUCCACCAUCACAGUAUCCUGCAGAAUAGUUUCACUACCUCUAAAAAUCCUCUGUGUUCCUCCUUUUUAUAGUUUGGAUUUGUGUCUCCACCCAAAUCUCACGUU